CCUACGGGAGGCAGCAGUUAGGAAUAUUGGUCAAUGGGCGAGAGCCUGAACCAGCCAAGUCGCGUGAGGGAAGACGGUCCUAUGGAUUGUAAACCUCUUUUGCCGGGGAGCAAAAAGCGGUACGUGUACCGCAUCGAGAGUACCCGGAGAAAAAGCAUCGGCUAACUCCGUGCCAGCAGCCGCGGUAAUACGGAGGAUGCGAGUGUUAUCGGGAUUUUUUGGGUUUAAAGGGUGCGCAGGCGGCGAGUUAAGUCAGCGGUAAACUUUCGGGGCGCAACCCCGACGAGCCGUUGAAACGGGCAGUCUGGAGUGGGAGAGAGGUAGGCGGAAGGCGUGGUGUAGCGGUGAAAUGCAUAGAU
rnacentral:rRNA from 1 species